rnacentral:rRNA from 1 species
UACGAAGGGGGCUAGCGUUUCUCGGAAUCACUGGGCGUAAAGGGUGCGUAGGCGGGUCUUUAAGUCAGGGGGGAAAUCCUGGAGCUCAACUCCAGAACUGCCUUUGAUACUGAAGAUCUUGAGUUCGGGAGAGGUGAGUGGAACUGCGAGUGUAGAGGUGAAAUUCGUAGAUAUUCGCAAGAACACCAGUGGCGAAGGCGGCUCACUGGCCCGAUACUGACGCUGAGGCACGAAAGCGUGGGGAGCAAACAGG